rnacentral:rRNA from 1 species
GAUGAACGCUGGCGGCGUGCCUAAUACAUGCAAGUCGAGCGAACGGACGAGAAGCUUGCUUCUCUGAUGUUAGCGGCGGACGGGUGAGUAACACGUGGAUAACCUACCUAUAAGACUGGGAUAACUUCGGGAAACCGGAGCUAAUACCGGAUGAUAUUUUGAACCGCAUGGUUCAAAAGUGAAAGACGGUCUUGCUGUCACUUAUAGAUGGAUCCGCGCUGCAUUAGCUAGUUGGUAAGGUAACGGCUUACCAAGGCAACGAUGCAUAGCCGACCUGAGAGGGUGAUCGGCCACACUGGAACUGAGGCACGGUCCAGACUCCUACGGGAGGCAGCAAUAGGGAAUCUUCCGCAAUGGGCGAAAGCCUGACGGAGCAACGCCGCGUGAGUGAUGAAGGUCUUCGGAUCGUAAAACUCUGUUAUUAGGGAAGAACAUAUGUGUAAGUAACUGUGCACAUCUUGACGGUACCUAAUCAGAAAGCCACGGCUAACUACGUG